AACGAACGAGACCUUACCCUGCUAAAUAGUUGCGCGAAACUUUAUGUUUCGUCGCUACUUCUUAGAGGGACUUUGUGUGUUUACACAAGGAAGCUGAGGGCAAUAACAGGUCUGUGAUGCCCUUAGAUGUUCUGGGCUGCACGCGCGCUACACUGACACGAUCAACAAGUAUUUCCUUGCCCGGUAGGGUUAGGGUAAUCUUUUGAAAUCGUGUCGUGCUAGGGAUAGACGAUUGCAAUUAUUCGUCUUCAACGAGGAAUUCCUAGUAAAUGCAAGUCAUCAGCUUGCGUUGAUUACGUCCCUGCCCUUUGUACACACCGCCCGUCGCUCCUACCGAUUGAGUGAUCCGGUGAGCUGUCCGGACUGCGAUUAGUUCAGUUUCUGUUCUCUUCGCGGGAAGUUCUGCAAACCUUAUCACUUAGAGGAAGGAGAAGUCGUAACAAGGUUUCCGUAGGUGAACCUGCGGAAGGAUCAUUC
rnacentral:ncRNA from 1 species